rnacentral:ncRNA from 1 species
UGAGGCUUAGAAGUUCUUAAUGUUCUGAGAAUAGAAGCAGCCAUGUUUGAACACGAUGUUCAAACAAGCCGUCACUGAGCCAUGGAUGGCGAAUUGACGGCGGUGGCGUAUGAUUGGAUGAAUUAUAUCAGAACAUUUAGAACUUCUUGGCUUC